rnacentral:rRNA from 1 species
GUAGGGAAUCUUCCACAAUGGACGAAAGUCUGAUGGAGCAACGCCGCGUGAGUGAAGAAGGUCUUCGGAUCGUAAAACUCUGUUGUUAGAGAAGAACGUGCAUGAUAGUAACUGAUCAUGUAAUGACGGUAUCUAACCAGAAAGCCACGGCUAACUACGUGCCAGCAGCCGCGGUAAUACGUAGGUGGCAAGCGUUGUCCGGAUUCAUUGGGCGUAAAGGGAACGCAGGCGGUUUUUUAAGUCUGAUGUGAAAGCCUUCGGCUUAACCGAAGAAUAGCAUUGGAAACUGGAAGACUUGAGUGCAGAAGAGGAGAGUGGAAUUCCAUGUGUAGCGGUGAAAUGCGUAGAUAUAUGGAGGAACACCAGUGGCGAAAGCGGCUCUCUGGUCUGUAACUGACGCUGAGGUUCGAAAGCGUGGGUAGCAAACAGGAUUAGAAACCCGGGUAGUCC